rnacentral:rRNA from 1 species
UGUACCUACGGGACGCAGCAGUGAGGAAUAUUGGUCAAUGGCCGGAAGGCUGAACCAGCCAAGCCGCGUGAAGGACGAAGGUGCCAAGCAUUGUAAACUUCUUUUGUCAAGGGACAAAAUCAGGCUCGAGAGCCUGACCGAGGGUACUUGAAGAAAAAGCAUCGGCUAACUCCGUGCCAGCAGCCGCGGUAAUACGUAGGGUGCGAGCGUUAAUCGGAAUUACUGGGCGUAAAGGGUGUGCAGGCGGCUGAGUAAGACAGAUGUGAAAUCCCCGGGCUUAACCUGGGAACCGCAUAUGUGACUGG